GGGGUUGUGGUUCAGUGGUAGACCACUUUCCUAAUGUGUGAGGCACUGGGUUCAAUUCUCAGCACCUCA
rnacentral:tRNA from 1 species